rnacentral:rRNA from 1 species
AUGGCGACCGGCGCACGGGUGAGUAACGCGUAUCCAACCUGCCCUUUACUAUGGGACAGCCCGUCGAAAGGCGGAUUAAUACCGUAUGUUGUCAUGUUGAUGCAUAUUUUCAUGACCAAAGGCUUCGACCGGUAAAGGAUGGGGAUGCGUCUGAUUAGCUUGCCGGCGGGGUAACGGCCCACCGGGGCGACGAUCAGUAGGGGUUCUGAGAGGAAGGUCCCCCACAUUGGAACUGAGACACGGUCCAAACUCCUACGGAAGGCAGCAG